GUCGAACGAAGGAUUGUGAGGAAACGUAAGUGGAGACACAAUGACUGAGUGGCGGACGGGUGAGUAACGCGUAGGGAACCUGGCCCUUACAGGGGGAUAACAGAUGGAAACAACUGCUAAUACCGCAUAAGCGCACGGCCUCGCAUGAGGGAGUGUGAAAAACUACGGUGGUAAGGGAUGGCCCUGCGUCCGAUUAGCUAGUUGGUAUGGUAAAGGCAUACCAAGGCAACGAUCGGUAGCCGGCCUGAGAGGGUGGACGGCCACAUUGGGACUGAGACACGGCCCAAACUCCUACGGGAGGCAGCAGUGGGGGAUAUUGCACAAUGGGGGGAACCCUGAUGCAGCGACACCGCGUGGGUGAGGAAGCGCUUCGGCGUGUAAAGCCCUAUCAGUGGGGAAGAAAAGAGACGGUACCCAAAGAAGAAGCACCGGCUAAAUACGUGCCAGCAGCCGCGGUAAUACGUAUGGUGCAAGCGUUAUCCGGAAUGACUGGGUGUAAAGGGAGCGUAGACGGUUGUUCAAGUCUGAUGUGAAAGCCCUCGGCUUAACUGGGGGAGUGCAUUGGAAACUGAAGCACUAGAGUAUCGGAGAGGCAAGUGGAAUUCCUAGUGUAGCGGUGAAAUGCGUA
rnacentral:rRNA from 1 species